GAUGAACGCUGGCGGCGUGCCUAAUACAUGCAAGUCGAGCGAAUGGAUUGGGAGCUUGCUCUUAUGAAGUUAGCGGCGGACGGGUGAGUAACACGUGGGUAACCUGCCCAUAAGACUGGGAUAACUCCGGGAAACCGGGGCUAAUACCGGAUAACAUUUUGAACCGCAUGGUUCGAAAUUGAAAGGCGGCCUCGGCUGUCACUUAUGGAUGGACCCGCGUCGCAUUAGCUAGUUGGUGAGGUAACGGCUCACCAAGGCAACGAUGCGUAGCCGACCUGAGAGGGUGAUCGGCCACACUGGGACUGAGACACGGCCCAGACUCCUACGGGAGGCAGCAGUAGGGAAUCUUCCGCAAUGGACGAAAGUCUGACGGAGCAACGCCGCGUGAGUGAUGAAGGCUUUCGGGUCGUAAAACUCUGUUGUUAGGGAAGAACAAGUGCUAGUUGAAUAAGCUGGCACCUUGACGGUACCUAACCAGAAAGCCACGGCUAACUACGUGCCAGCCGCCGCUGUAA
rnacentral:rRNA from 1 species